rnacentral:rRNA from 1 species
CGCGCAGGCGGUUUUCUAAGUCCUUUGUGAAACUCCGGGGCUCAACCCCGGACAUGCAGCGGAAACUGGAAGACUAGAGACCGGUAGAGGCUGGCGGAAUUCCUGGUGUAGCGGCGGAAUGCGUAGAUAUCAGGAAGAACACCGGUGGCGAAGGCGGCCAGCUGGGCCGGGUCUGACGCUCAUGUGCGAAAGCGUGGGGAGCAAACAGGAUUAGAUACCCUGGUAGUCC